UACCAUUUGGAAAAUGCAUUUAUAUUACAAGUUAGAUAUAUUUAAAUGGCUCUUUAUACAAUAUUAUUUGGGAUCAGUAUUUUUAUGAUAGCUCUGGUUAUCGCAGUUAUUGAAAAUAUAUUUUUCCAUUGGAAACACGAACAUACUAUCGAAAGGACUUCUUUGGUUGCUGUCGAACGACCAGCGGUCAGUUUGAUGAUACGUACAUCGAGAUGUUUUUUCAAAUGUCGCCAGUACGCAGAUGGGAGUUGCGUGUACGACGUCAUAGACAAAUCGGAUUCCCCGAGUAGCGGUUUUGAAUCUGUGGCCAACUGACUUUUUUUUUCUAAGUGUAAAUAAAUGACAGUUAAAUAUUAA